rnacentral:rRNA from 1 species
CAGUAGCCGCGGUAAUACGUAGGUGGCAAGCGUUGUCCGGAAUUAUUGGGCGUAAAGGGCUCGCAGGCGGUUUCUUAAGUCUGAUGUGAAAGCCCCCGGCUCAACCGGGGAGGGUCAUUGGAAACUGGGAAACUUGAGUGCAGAAGAGGAGAGUGGAAUUCCACGUGUAGCGGUGAAAUGCGUAGAGAUGUGGAGGAACACCAGUGGCGAAGGCGACUCUCUGGUCUGUAACUGACGCUGAGGAGCGAGAGCGUGGGGAGCGAACAAGAUUAGAUACCCCCGUAGUCCCUGUCUCUUAUAC